rnacentral:rRNA from 1 species
AAGUGGUAGGAGAGCGUUCUAUUUGCGUCGAAGGUAUACCGGUAAGGAGUGCUGGAGCGAAUAGAAGUGAGCAUGCAGGCAUGAGUAGCGAUAAUUAAUGUGAGAAUCAUUAACGCCGUAAACCCAAGGUUUCCUACGCGAUGCUCGUCAUCGUAGGGUUAGUCGGGUCCUAAGUCGAGUCCGAAAGGGGUAGACGAUGGCAAAUUGGUUAAUAUUCCAAUACCAACAUUAGUGUGCGAUGGAAGGACGCUUAGGGCUAAGGGGGCUAGCGGAUGGAAGUGCUAGUCUAAGGUCGUAGGAGGUUAUACAGGCAAAUCCGUAUAACAAUACUCCGAGAACUGAAAGGCUUUUUGAAGUCUUCGGAUGGAUAGAAGAACCCCUGAUGCCAUCGAGCCAAGAAAAGUUUCUAAGUUUAGCUAAUGUUGCCCGUACCGUAAACCGACACAGGUGGGUGGGAUGAGUAUUCUAAGGCGCGUGGAAGAACUCUCUUUAAGGAACUCUGCAAAAUAGCACCGUAUCUUCGGUAUAAGGUGUGGUUCGCUUCGUAUUAGGAUUUACUCCGAAAGCGAAGAAACUUACAACAAAGAGUCCCUCCCGACUGUUUACCAAAAACACAGCACUCUGCUAACUCGUAAGAGGAUGUAUAGGGUGUGACGCCUGCCCGGUGCUCGAAGGUUAAUUGAUGGGGUUAGCAUUAGCGAAGCUCUUGAUCGAAGCCCGAGUAAACGGCGGCCGUAACUAUAACGGUCCUAAGGUAGCGAAAUUCCUUGUCGGUUAAAUACCGACCUGCAUGAAUGGCGUAACGAGAUGGGAGCUGUCUCAAAGAGGGAUCCAGUGAAAUUGUAGUGGAGGUGAAAAUUCCUCCUACCCGCGGCAAGACGGAAAGACCCCGUGGACCUUUACUACAGCUUGACACUGCUAUUUGGAUAAGAAUGUGCAGGAUAGGUGGGAGGCUUUGAGUAUAUGACGCCAGUUGUAUAUGAGCCAUUGUUGAGAUACCACUCUUUCUUAUUUGGGUAGCUAACCAGCUUGAGUUAUCCUCAAGUGGGACAAUGUCUGGUGGGUAGUUUGACUGGGGCGGUCGCCUCCCAAAUAAUAACGGAGGCUUACAAAGGUUGGCUCAGAACGGUUGGAAAUCGUUCGUAGAGUAUAAAGGUAUAAGCCAGCUUAACUGCAAGACAUACAAGUCAAGCAGAGACGAAAGUCGGUCUUAGUGAUCCGGUGGUUCUGUGUGGAAGGGCCAUCGCUCAAAGGAUAAAAGGUACCCCGGGGAUAACAGGCUGAUCUCCCCCAAGAGCUCACAUCGACGGGGAGGUUUGGCACCUCGAUGUCGGCUCAUCGCAUCCUGGGGCUGGAGCAGGUCCCAAGGGUAUGGCUGUUCGCCAUUUAAAGCGGUACGCGAGCUGGGUUCAGAACGUCGUGAGACAGUUCGGUCCCUAUCUGCCGUGGGCGUAAGAAGAUUGAAGAGAUUUGACCCUAGUACGAGAGGACCGGGUUGAACAAACCACUGGUGUAGCUGUUGUUCUGCCAAGAGCAUCGCAGCGUAGCUAAGUUUGGAAAGGAUAAACGCUGAAAGCAUCUAAGCGUGAAGCCAACUCUAAGAUGAAUCUUCUCUAAGCUCUCUAGAAGACUACUAGUUUGAUAGGCUGGGUGUGUAAUGGAUGAAAGUCCUUUAGCUGACCAGUACUAAUAGAGCGUUUGGCUUAUCU